GUGUAUGAUUUGCCGGGACUCCGAACAUAAAGCUCCAAACAUUAUCCAAAUCGAGCUGAUGCACAAUUGUAACAAUUUCACAGGCUGUCCCAUCAUUAAAGCAAUAAAAAGAAAAUAAAGUUCCGGGACAAGAUCGAUGUGCUGCGGAAGUAACCAGCCCAGAUGCUGAAAUCCUGGUACGUGAAGGCCAGAUGGCUUAAUCUCACCAGUAGACAUUUGUUGAUGACAACCUACAUGUGUGUUAUAUUAAUUAUGCCGCAGCCAACCGCCAUUGCUUGUGCCCUCUUUGAAUUUUUGCAAAAUUGAUUGCACUGAACAUAUUGCCACGAGUAUACGUAAUCCCCAGACAACUGUGGUAC